UACGUAGGGUGCAAGCGUUGUCCGGAAUUAUUGGGCGUAAAGAGCUCGUAGGCGGUCUGUCACGUCGGCUGUGAAAACCCGAGGCUCAACCUCGGGCCUGCAGUCGAUACGGGCAAACUAGAGUACUGCAGGGGAGACUGGAAUUCCUGGUGUAGCGGUGAAAUGCGCAGAUAUCAGGAGGAACACCGGUGGCGAAGGCGGUUCUCUGGGCAUGUCCUGACGCUGAGGAGCGAAAGUGUGGGGAGCGAACAGG
rnacentral:rRNA from 1 species